GAUGAAGAACGCAGCGAAAUGCGAUAAGUAGUGUGAAUUGCAGAAUUCAGUGAAUCAUCGAAUCUUUGAACGCACAUUGCGCCCUUUGGUAUUCCUUAGGGCAUGCCUGUUCGAGCGUCAUUUAAACCUUCAAGCCCUGCUUGGUGUUGGGUGCCUGUCCCGCCCCCGCGCGUGGACUCACCUCAAAUCCAUUGGCGGCCCCCGCAAGGCCACGAGCGCAGCAGAAACGCAAACUCGUGUGCCCGGCGGGCGGCUCCCAGAAGCUACACCCACCAUUUUGACCUCGGAUCAGGUAGGGAUACCCGCUGAACUUAAGAAUAUCAAUAAGCGAGGA
rnacentral:misc_RNA from 1 species